rnacentral:rRNA from 1 species
AGAGUUUGAUCCUGGCUCAGGACGAACGCUGGCGGCAUGCCUAAUACAUGCAAGUCGAACGCUGAAGCACUCUGCUUGCAGAGUGCGGAUGAGUGGCGAACGGGUGAGUAACACGUGGGAAAUCUACCUAAAAGUGGGGGAUAACAUUCGGAAACGGAUGCUAAUACCGCAUAUCUUCAAGAACCGCAUGGUUCCUGAACGAAAGAUGGCUUCGGCUAUCGCUCUUAGAUGAUCCCGCGGCGUAUUAGUUAGUUGGUGGGGUAAAGGCCUACCAAGACAAUGAUACGUAGCCGACCUGAGAGGGUGAUCGGCCACACUGGGACUGAGAACGGCCCAGACUCCUACGGGAGGCAGCAGUAGGGAAUCUUCCACAAUGGACGAAAGUCUGAUGGAGCAAUGCCGCGUGAAUGAAGAAGGUCUUCGGAUCGUAAAGUUCUGUUAUUAGAGAAGAAUAGGUCGAGGAGUAACUGUCUCGACUUUGACGGUACCUAACCAGAAAGUCACGGCUAACUACGUGCCAGCAGCCGCGGUAAUACGUAGGUGACGAGCGUUGUCCGGAAUUAUUGGGCGUAAAGGGAGCGCAGGCGGUUGAAAUAGUCUGAUGUGAAAGCCCACGGCUUAACCGUGGAAGGUCAUUGGAAACUGUUCAACUUGAAUACAGAAGAGGUAAGUGGAAUUCCA